ensembl:lncRNA
UUAUUAAUGGUCAUUAGGAAUCAAGGAAUAAAGAGGAUACAAAAUAAAGACCACAUGCCCAUGGCUGAUUAGCCCAUUUCAAAAUCCCCACUCAACACCAUCAUCAUGCUGACGGGAAGCCAAAGAGAGAGGAUGACCCUUCAUGUUCUUGCCUAAUAUCCCUUGUCUACAGGAAGUAUGUGAUGACAGGAAGUCAGUGGGCUUCCAGAAAAUGUAGUUCUUUUUUAGGGUAACAGAUUUUCAAUUAUACAGUUCCCUGAACAGUUUAUGUUAACUCUUUAGAAUCAUGGACUCAGAAUGGAAAAGAACUUGAGACCAUCUAGUCCAACAAAGACCUGGCUAUCAGUGCCUUCUAUACCUUGCCAAUAAGUGAGCAUUCUACCUUUUCCUGAAGACCUUCAGGGAAGGAUUCUUCACUAUUAGAAGAAACAGUUCCUUUCACUUUUCUUUAGUUCUAAUUGUUGCUUCAUCAGGGAAGUCAUUGUUUCUAACAAAGAAGGUGAUGUGUCUUUAGUAAAUAUCAUAGGAGAUGUCCUGAUAAUUGUUGUGGCCAAAAAGGAUGCAUGUCCUAGUGGUCAUCCUUCUGGUGAUGAACUCUGCUCAACUGAUCAAGUCACCCUGCUGUGUUUUCUUUGGGAAUGAAUCUGGAAAGAGCUCCUGUCACAAACAGAUAAUGGAACCGGAAAGAAUUUCUGAGCAGGAAACUUGGAUCCAGAAAAGGGAAGAGACUUGUUCUAGGUCCUAGAGGAUCAGAGAAAAAAAGACCAGUACCAAACUUUGGGUACAACAGUUUGAUUUGAUUGGUUUGACUACAUACAUCUUUGUCUGCAUAGCCAUCUAAAUGAAAAAUAAACACACGUAUGCCAUUUAACA